CAUCUCCUCCAGAGACAGGAAGUCUCAUGUGUUUUGCUAUUUAAUGAAGCAGGGACAUUCCUUGGUGUUUUCGCCGCACUCAGAGAAAGGAGAAGAGGUCCAUCCAUCAGACGGUUGAGAAAACUCUGGCUUGAAGACUUGAUGUUACUGCCUGAGGUCCUGUCGCUGGAGUGCCAGGCCGCGUCCCUCGGAGGUGGGCACAGAAGAUGCUAAGAUUUCCAGAAGUGGCUCCAGGAUCAAGAAAAAAGCAUCGCCUUCCCCUUUUUCCAAGCCCGGGGUAUAACUGUCUGAUUCUUUCCUAAAAAUACAAGGUACACUAUUGUGUUAUGGGCAGGAGCCAGAAGUCAGAAUAUACAAACGAAUCGUCAAUCCUGAAGCACUUACAUUUUCU